rnacentral:rRNA from 1 species
AUUGAACGCUGGCGGCAUGCCUUACACAUGCAAGUCGAACGGUAACAGGUCUUCGGAUGCUGACGAGUGGCGAACGGGUGAGUAAUACAUCGGAACGUGCCCGAUCGUGGGGGAUAACGGAGCGAAAGCUUUGCUAAUACCGCAUACGAUCUACGGAUGAAAGCAGGGGACCGCAAGGCCUUGCGCGGACGGAGCGGCCGAUGGCGGAUUAGGUAGUUGGGGGGAUAAAAGCUUACCAAGCCGACGAACCGUAGCUGGUUUGAGAGGACGACCAGCCACAGUGGGAAUGAGACACGGCCAAGACUCCUACGGGAGGCACCAGUGGGUAAUCUUGGUCAAUGGGCGCUAGCCUGAUCCAGCGAUGCCGCGUGCAGGAUGAAGGCCUUCGGGUUGUAAACUGCUUUUGUACGGAACGAAAAGACUCUUUCUAAUAAAGAGGGUUCAUGACGGUACCGUAAGAAUAAGCACCGGCUAACUACGUGCCAGCAGCCGCAGUAAGAC